rnacentral:rRNA from 1 species
UACGUAGGGGGCAAGCGUUGUCCGGAAUCAUUGGGCGUAAAGAGCGCGUAGGCGGCCCUGUAAGUCCGCUGUGAAAGUCAAGGGCUCAACCCUUGAAUGCCGGUGGAUACUGCAGGGCUAGAGUCCGGAAGAGGCGAGUGGAAUUCAUGGUGUAGCGGUGAAAUGCGCAGAUAUCAGGAGGAACACCGAUGGCGAAGGCAGCUCGCUGGGACGGUACUGACGCUGAGGCGCGAAAGCGUGGGGAGCAAACAGG